ensembl:lncRNA
GGGGGUCAGAGGGCAGGUAUCAGGAGGGACCCAGCCUGAGGUCCUCAGGGACCCUGCACUCGGCUGAGUGGCUGAGUGCCAUCGCCUCCUCCUCCUCCUGCCCCGUCUCGCUUCCUUCCCUGGGGAGUGGUGAGCGCUGGUCUGUUCACUUGCCCAGUGCCGGGAGCCUCAGAGCCUGGCUGGACAUGGUGCAGCUGCCCCCUCCCCUGGUGGGCAUCCCCCAGUCACUCCAGCGCUUUCUGCGAGCUCAGGCGCGCACAGGGCUGUGGCCACCCUACAGGAUGGCACAGACGCGUCCAGGACGAGCCCAUCGUCCCUGAGUGCCCCUGGCAAGUGCUGCCCCGGGCUCGGCACUGCGCCCGCGGGCGCGGAGAGUGGGGGCUGCGGGACGCCCGUGCUGUGUGCCUGGGGGCCGCCCCUGACCCCCUGUGCCCCACGUGUCUUGUCUCUGAGUGGGACGGUAACAGGAUGCGUGUGAGGUGGGAGCGAGAGUCACAGGGAAUCGUGUUACUCACUCGGAACAGGAGCAGUAAGUACUGUGCUCAGCAGGCAUUUUAGCCUCUGUUUUUCAGUCUGGCUGCUCCAGGCCUUAGCUGCGGCACGCCAGGUCUUUGGUCGCGUCGUGCAGACUCUUAGCUCCCGCAUGUGGCAUCCAGUUCCCUGACCAGGGGUGGGACCUGGGCCCCUGCAUUGGGAGUGUGCAGUCUUCCCACUGGAUCGCCAGGGAACUCCCAGCGGUUUUUAAAAUUAUUCAUUCAGUUAAUGUUCCAUCUACCGACGUUUGGACGACACGAAGUGUGCCGGGCGCGGAGGGGCCCAGGUGUGGUCUUGCUUCUGUCGCCCACCGCCCUGAGCUGGCUCCUCCCUGUGGCGGGGCUGCGGCCAAACAGUAAGCCCAGCACCAUCUCGGCUUGUGUUUGCCUUUGCGAGUAAGCCCAGCUCCCCCUCCUGCCCCCAAAGGACCCUGCUUAGCCCCAUGAGUUCAAGAUAAAGGAGCACACGAGGUUCCGGCUUCCUGGGUGUCUGGGCAGGCAGGGGCGGCCAGGGCCGGGAGGGCUCUGCCUGGCUCCCAGCCCUGGUCCUGAGGGAGAGGAGCCCCUGGCCGGGCAGGCCCAGCGACCAGCUGCUGUCCGCUCCCAGGCCCGGCUGUGUCGGCCGCUCGCUGCGCACUCAGUCCCAGGGCCUUGUCUCCUCAUCUAAAAUGACAGCCACGUGAGGCGUGUGCCUGUGUCCGGCCCCAACCACACUGGGGCCCUCGGCCAGCCCCCUGAUGGACUCCCCAGGGGCAGGGUGGGGCGCCCACCCGCCGAGAGGGCCGGCGGCAGAGCGAGCAGGCCUGGGAGCGGGCGGCGGCCCAGAGACCAUCUGCCCGGAGGUAGGGCUCUGCGUCUCUAGGUGUGCCCUUCUUUCUGCAGAUCAGGAAGCUGCCCACAGAGGUUCUGCUUCUGCUUUGGGUCACACAGCACCUUGGUGCCUGGCCCUGGACUGUGGCCCGAGUCUAAAUCCGCCCUCCCUGUCUCAGGCCCCCAGGCGGGGUGCGAGAGGCCCACCAUGGGACCGGGCUCCCCUCCCCCACCAGCCAGCCAGGCCCCCGCUGUCCUCCCCCGACAGCUGGUGGGAGGACACACCUACACUGUCCUCUCAGGGCCCCAGGGAAGGUCAGCUGGUUUGGGCCACAGGCAGCACAUUGGAAACACACAGGAAACUUUAAUUAGACCAGUGAAUCAGCAGCCUGCAUGGUGUGCGCACAGUCUGACCACAGGGUGUGCGCACAGUCUGACCACACGGUGUAUGCACACCCUCUGCCCCCGGGCCUCCAUGCUGAGCAGGUUGUCCUGUUUUCUUUCAUUCUCUGAGCCUCUCAGGUGAGGUGAAGAGUUGCUCGCCUAACUCACCCUGUACCGACAUGGACUUUCUCUCGUUCCCGUAAACCUCCCUCUGGGAGCCAGCAUCCACGCCUCCACCCCUCUGCACACCCCUGGCUGGAGACCCAGCCGCCUGCACUGCGUGCAAGUGUGUGCUUGCUGUAAGUGUGUGCUUGCCGUAAGUGUGUGCAUGCCAGCCUCUCACCAUGUCCUGCGCACUCCCAGAACCUUACCUGGAACCCCAGGGUGCGUCCCCUGGACGUGCCUGCUGUGUGUUUCGUCAUGGAGACACCCUCGUGCCGGCCAGCAGGAGGGUCUGGCGCUGGGACCACACAGGUGCCGCCCAGCCCAGUCCCAGUCCCAGUGUGUCCCUGCUGAUCCAUCCAAGUGCAGCUGUUGGAUGGCAGGUUCUUUUCUGUGGCAGAAAUUCAUAGAAUGCUCAGUUAGGAUGUACCACCUUAACGGCUCUUAAGUGCUCAGGGCGCCCAGGACAUCCCGCUGCGUGCCUGUCCAGCUCCAGGACUCCCCAUUCUGCACGCUGGAAGCUGUAUGCUUCCCCAGCCCCUGCCCAAGCCCGGGCCCCCAGCCUCUGCUCUGCCUGAGUCCGACCACCUUGUGCCUCUGUGAGUGGGUCAGGGGCUUAUUCCUGCUGUGUCAUGCCUCCCCGAGCCCCGUGUCGUCCAGGUCUCUGUGUCAGGGCAGCAUCAGUGCUGGUCCCCACUGGGCUGGGUCACUCCACGUGGAGCAUCUUGCUGGCCCGGUCCUCAGACGGGCAGGCCGUUUGCUGCCAGACCGUGGGGCGGAGGUGGUCCACGGUGGCUUCUCCCCACUGCCCUUCCUGCCCGGGGCCGCAGACGCCUCUGUGCUCUGAGAACCAGGCACCUGGAGCCCCGUCUUCCCCGACAGUCCAGUGCCAACCGCAGGGCCAGUGUGCUCGACAGCCCUCCGGGAGGCAGGGAGGCAAGAGCACGGCUGGCCGAGGCUACAGGCGGGGCUGGCAAAGGGGCAGCCCCACCAGGACCCAGGACCCCAGGUGAGGAGCCGGCCCCUCGAGCCCGGGGUGGGGCCACUGGCCCUGGAGCCCCAUUCGUGGGGCGGCCCUGUGCACACCCCUCGUGAGGCUCAGCCUGUCUAGACCACCAUCUCCGGCUGAGACUGGGACCCUGGGUCCCUCACCCCCCACCCUACGGUGAGGCCUGUGCUGAUACUGGGACCCUGGGUCCCUCACCCCCCUGGGGUGGGGUCUGGGCUGAGACUGGGACCCUGGGUCCCUCAUCCUUCUGGAGUGGGGUCUGGGCUGAGACUGGGACCCUGGUCCCUCAACCCCCCGGGGUGAGGCCUGGGCUGAGACGGGGACCCUGGGUCCAUCACCCCCCACCCUAGGGUGAGGCCUGGGCUGAGACUGGGACCCUGGGUCCCUCACCCCCCUGGGGUGGGGUCUGGGCUGAGACUGGGACCCUGGGUCCCUCAUCCUUCUGGAGUGGGGCCUGGGCUGAGACUGGGACCCUGGGUCCAUCACCCCCCACCCUAGGGUGAGGCCUGGGCUGAGACUGGGACCCUGGGUCCAUCACCCCCCAGGGUGGGAUCUGGGCUGAGACGGGGACCCUGGGUCCAUCACCCCCCGGGGUGGGAUCUGGGCUGAGACGGGGACCCUGGGUCCCUCACCCCCCCGGGGUGAGGCCUGGGCUGAGACGGGGACCCUGGGUCCCUCACCCCCCACCCUAGGGUGAGGCCUGGGCUGAGACUGGGACCCUGGGUCCCUCAUCCUUCUGGAGUGGGGUCUGUGCUGAUACUGGGACCCUGGGUCCCUCACCCCCCCGGGGUGAGGCCUGGGCUGAGACGGGGACCCUGGGUCCAUCACCCCCCACCCUAGGGUGAGGCCUGGGCUGAGAGGGGGACCCUGGGUCCCUCACCCCCCGGGGUGGGGUCUGGGCUGAGACGGCGGUGCUGUCGCUGCCUGCUGGGCACUGCACCUCCUGCAGCGCUUCUCCCGGUGUCUCUCCGGGCGUGGGGGUGGCUGACCUCAAGGAGGGAAGGGGGCGGCAGGAGAGAUGGGCAGCAGAGGCAGUGAGAGCAGCCUCAGGAGCCCGGCAGGAAACGGGCGGCCCUGCAUCAACCCCCCACCUCCGAACUCAGCCCGGAGCCCGAAGGAGGAGCCUCGGCUCGCCCGCCCUGGAGACAGAGGGAGACAGGGCACCCCUGCAGGCAUAGCCUCGUCCGGGGGAGGGAGGAACCGCUGUGAGAGCCGCCUGAGGCUGGCUGGGCCCAGAGGAGCCAGGGACCCUGCGUCCCAUCUCUGCUGGACAUGGGUGCUCAGCUGGAGUCACGAGCGGGCUGCUGCCGUCCCCGCUGUGAUAUUCCACGUCUUGCAGCCUUCGAGGUGCUUUCUGUGGGCCAGGCCCUGCGCCGGGGUUUUCCACGGACCCCUCAGCGGAUCCCAAAGUGCCCGAUGAGCAUUUCAAAGGAGACUCAGUGCCAGAGACACAGUGCAGCCCCCACGGUGUGCGGGGCCCGGAGGGGUCCGGAGGAGCCCCUGGCCUGGGGGGUGCAGACAGACACGGAACCAGCAAGACCAGCGGGUUCAUGCAGGGUGUGGGCAGGCCACAGAGUGCGCGGGGCCCGGCAAGCUUUGGGGGUCAGGCCAAGCGCUCAGAGUGCCAGAUGGCCUCCCCUGGAAACCGCAGGGUGGGUGGGAGGACGCCACCCCCUCACCCCAAACCACAGGCCACCAGCUCCAAGGGAACAGGCAGAGAGAAGCAGGAAGCCCAGACAGCGGGGGCAGGGUGGUGGGGACAGACGCCCCGGCACGGCUGAGGGCAGCCUUGCCCACGGCCUGCAGGCUCUGCACGCUGUCCUGGGCCAGCGGGGCCUCAGACACCCACCCCCCAG